CAGCUGUUCAACAAGCUCUCUUUCUUCUCUCAUCUGUUCCAUUUUCCUCCGAAUUGUAAACUGUGGGUCUAUUGAUUCCAAAUUUCUUUGUGGUCUUAAGAACACUGAUCGUGGCUUCAGGCCAAAAGGGAUUGUGUUGUUUGUAGUAGGAGACAGAGUUGGACUUUUAUCUUUGUUCUCAUUGUGAGAAGGUUGGCCACUUGUAUUCCAAACAAUUACAUCAUUCUGAUUCAAUGACCAUUUUUCACCCUGUUCACAUGUUCUCAUUUCAUUCUUGGCUUUCUCCAUAAUUAAUUCCCUCCUCCUCUGAAAUUCUAGUUCCUCUUCAGCAUUUUCUUUCUGACCAAGGGAGGACAUCUCCAUCUGCAUUUGACUGUUUACUGUAGAUUCCUGAAAUUCUAAAGCUGUUGCUGGUUCCAUGGGAUACAGAUUCACAUCACUGCUUUCUGAAAUAUCCAUGCUUAAUCUGUUGGGAUCUUGUAAUAAAUCUACCGCUUCUCUUAGUUGUUCUAUCAUUGCUAUAUCAAUAGUUUGUUCUUCUGACAUAUUUAUUAUUUCUUCUGUUUGCCAUUGUGCGUCCUCUUCGAUUCUCA
rnacentral:lncRNA from 1 species